UAGUUAACAGCUCAAUGGUAGAGCUGUCAGCUGUUAAUUGGCUGGUCGUAGGUUCAGAUCCUACUUGAGGAG